rnacentral:tRNA from 1 species
GUCUCGGUAGUCUAAUGGCUUAGGACGCUCGUACGGAAUACAAGAGAUCCUGGUUCGACUCCCGGCCGAGG